rnacentral:rRNA from 1 species
AUGAAGAAACCAGAGCACCUGACUGGUUAUGGCCUUAUGGACCCUGCAGAGAAUAAUAUGUCGAAAGAAGCUGACAGUGUGGCAAUAUCAAUAGAAGAAGACGUGCUGCUUGGAGAUUCAUCACGGCCGGAAGAAGCCGAUAGAGUGGCAAUGCCUUCAGGAGAAGGCGUACUGCUCAAAGAUUCAUUGCAAUCUCAGCUGCAAGAGAUCAGUGUUAACCAUGAGAGUAUGUUGAAAGAAGCUGACAUCGUGGCACUAUCGAUUGGAGAAGAGGUGCAUGGCGAUUCAUCGCUGCCGGAAGAAGCUGACAGCAGAGAAAUACCGUCAGGAGAAGGCAUACUGCUUGGAGAUUCGUUGCAGUCUCAGCAGCAAGAGAUCAAUGUUAACCAUGAGAAUACGGAGGAAGAAGCUGACACUGUGGCAAUACAGUUAGGACUUAGGAGAAGGCUUGGAGGUUCAUCCCUGCUAGAAGAAGCUGACAUAGUGGAAAUAUCGAUAGGUGAAAACGUGCUGCUUGGAGAUUCAACGCUGCCGGGAGAAGCUGAGGGAGUGCCAAUGUUGUCAGGAGAAGGCGUACUGCCUGGAGAUUCGUCGCAGACUCAGCAGCAAGAGAUCACUAUCGACCAUGGUCCGCACAUGUCAAUUGAUGAGCUGCUGAAAGUAAUAAAAGGAGCCAAUGGCAUGCCCGUGCUGUUCGUCCCCUCCAGCGACGGGCGGCUGGCGGCAGUAGCUGUGGAUGGCCUUCAGAAUCUUGUGCCUGCCAAUCGCGACAACAAUGUGUCAGGUGAAAAUAAAAAUCAGGAUUUCCGUGCCUGGCUAUUACUCCUGGCGUCACUGGUUGCCACAGUCACCUACACCGCAGGACUCACUCCACCGGGUGGUUUCUGGGCUGCCGACGACAAGGCAAAUGGAUACGUUGCUGGUACCUCAGUUAUGCGCGACAAAUUUAACCGCAGGAUUAUGUUUUGUGAGCUUGGGGACUAG